GCCCGGGUAGUGUAGUGGCCUAUCAUGAUUGCCUGUCACGCAAUCGACUCGGAUUCGAAUUCCGACCCGGGCG
rnacentral:tRNA from 2 species